GGGGUUGGGGCUUAGUGGUAGAGCGCUUGCCUAGCACACAAGAGGCACUGGGUUCAAUCCCCGGCACCA
rnacentral:tRNA from 1 species